rnacentral:lncRNA from 1 species
CUUGGGUCUGCUCCCACGCUGUUGGGGCGGGGGCGGGGGGGGGGUUGUUCUUUUGCUCCUUGGGUCCACACUGCGUUUAUGAGCUGUAAUAUUCACCGCAAAGGUCUGCAGCUUCACUACUAAGCCAACGAGACCACAAACCCACCAGGAGGAACGACAAUUCCAGACGCGUGGCUUUAACAGCUGUUAACACUCACCGCGAAGGUCUGUAGCUUCAUUUCUGAGUCAGCGAGACCACGAACCCACCAGAAAGAAGAAACUCCGAACACACCCGAACCUCAGAAGGAACAAAUUCCGGACACGCCGCCUUUAAGAACUGUAACACUCACCACAAGGGUCCGCGGCUUCAUUCUUGAAGUCAGUGAGACCAAGAACCCACUAAUUCCGGACACACUUUGACCAGCAGAGCAGGCAGAAGUAAAGCCACGGUUCACAGAAGUGACCUGGGAGAAGCAGCAGCCCCGGGAGAGGCUUAACUAGCAGAGCACUGAGGCCCACCGACAGCCAUGUGCAUGAGCUUGGAAGCACAUCUCCCCAACCCACCCCAGUCAAGCCUGCAGAUGAGACCUCAGCUGCAGCUGACAACUCGGCUACAACUUUGUGAGAGACCUGGAGCCAAAAGCACCUAGCUAAGCUGUGCCUGUAUUUCUGACCCACAGAAACUCUGAGAGAUCAUCUGGCACAUGCCUCGUUGGAGAUCACUAAAGAUGCAGAUUUGUAAAUCAACAGCAAAUAGGCAGUGGCUGCAGCUCUGGAGUUGAAUGGGAUCACCCAAGAAGAGACAAAUAGAGGCAGAAGAAAGCUCCAAGGAUGAGAAAUUGGGAAACAACAAUAUUUAAGCUGGGGAAAAAUUUUAAAAGC